rnacentral:rRNA from 1 species
AUGCCGCGCGGCUCCAUCUGUUGGCUGCUGCUGGCCGUGGCGCUGGCGGCGGCCGCCGUGGAGGCCGGCCGGAGCCGGAGCCUGCACCGGGACUUCGACGCCGUGUGGGGGAAGCGCAAUGCGCGCUUCUUCGACGACGGCCGGGUGGUGGAGCUGGCGCUGGACCGGGAGACCGGGUCCAGGCUGGAGUCCAAGGACCGGUACCUCUUCGGGCGGUUCGACCUCGACAUCAGGCUCGUCGCCGGCGAGUCCGCGGGCACCAUCACCUCCUUCUACAUCUGCACGGGUGGCGCGCGGCACGACGAGGUGGACUUCGAGUUCCUGGGCAACGUGAGCGGCGAGCCCUACAUCCUGCACACCAACAUCUUCAGCGACGGCAAGGGCGAGCGGGAGCAGCAGUUCGUGCUCUGGUUCGACCCCACCGCCGACUUCCACACCUACUCCAUCCUCUGGAACCCGCUCAACAUCAUCCUGUACAUCGACGGGACGCCGAUCCGGGUGUUCAAGAACAACGAGGCGAACGGGGUGCCGUUCCCGACGCGGCAGCCGGUGCACGUCUUCGCCAGCAUCUGGAACGCCGAGGAGUGGGCGACGCAGGGCGGGCGCGUCAAGACGGACUGGUCCGAGGCGCCCUUCGUGGCCGCGUACCGGCGGUUCGACGCGACCAGCGCCUGCGUCUGGCAAGGCGAGGCGUCGCCCACGCGGUGCGGCGGCGACCACCUGCCGUCGUCGGCGUCGUCGUGGAUGGCGCAGCGGCUGGACUGGUGGAGCUGGAUGACGCUCAACUGGGUGCGCAUGAACUACAUGACCUACGACUACUGCGCCGACCGGAAGCGGUACCCCCACGCGUUCCCCACCGAGUGCAUCAUCCCCAUCGGCAGGAUCUGA